rnacentral:rRNA from 1 species
CCUACGGGAGGCUGCAGUGGGGAAUAUUGGGCAAUGGGCGCAAGCCUGACCCAGCAACGCCGCGUGAAGGAAGAAGGCUUUCGGGUUGUAAACUUCUUUUAAGGGGGAAGAGCAGAAGACGGUACCCCUUGAAUAAGCCACGGCUAACUACGUGCCAGCAGCCGCGGUAAUACGUAGGUGGCAAGCGUUGUCCGGAUUUACUGGGUGUAAAGGGCGUGCAGCCGGAGAGGCAAGUCAGAUGUGAAAUCCGCGGGCUCAACCCGCGAACUGCAUUUGAAACUGCUUCCCUUGAGUAUCGGAGAGGUAACCGGAAUUCCUAGUGUAGCGGUGAAAUGCGUAGAUAUUAGGAAGAACACCAGUGGCGAAGGCGGGUUACUGGACGACAACUGACGGUGAGGCGCGAAAGCGUGGGGAGCAAACAGGAUUAGAUACCCGUGU